rnacentral:tRNA from 1 species
GGUUCGGUGGCCUAGUGGUUAGGCGCUCGCGCGCAAGACUGAUAGGUCCUGGGUUCGAAUCUCGCGAGGCGGGAUC